GAACAAGCAAGGCAAUGGCAGAUGAAAUUAAAUGUUGACAAAUGCAAGUUAAUGUGCAUUGGAAGGCAUAAUGUGACCUACUCAUACACAUUGCUGCAUUUUAAAUUAACUGUAACCACUCAGGGAAAAGACCUAGAGGUUAUUGUGAACAGCUCAAUAAAAACAUCUGUUAAAUGAACAGAAGCAGUCAGAAAAGCAAACAAAACAUUGGGCCGUACAAGGGAGAUUUUAUAUUAUCAUUUAUAUUAUGAUAAUACAUCAGGACACUGAAAACUGCUUUCUGUUGUGCCAGGCUCUGUGUGAGCAGAGAGUGAAAAGGCAUCCGAGUGUGACCAGACACCAAUGGAUAAGGAGAUUCCUGGAGCAGAGGUUUGCCUUCAAGCAAGGAGAACUGUGUGAUGUGCAAGACUUCUGGCUCUGCAAGCAGCUCAACAAGGAGCUGGGCUGACAGACGGAGCAAGGACGACGUCCUGAGCUUUGGCUUGGCUGCUGUAUGGGGAAUAAUUCUUGUGGGCCCCUUUCUGCUUGUGUGAGCGUUUUCGGAGCAUCUUCAGAAGCACCAGCCCUCUCCUCUGUCGUAUUAUUUUUGUUUGUAAAUCCUGGCUGAAGAAGGAUCUCGGCUCAAACAUAAAGCUCCAUCUGACCUGAGCAGCACGGGGCAAAUCUGGGAUCAAGCCUGUGAAGAAAACGGGUUUAUUAGCCUUAUAAAUUGAAUCUGGAGUUCUUGGUGCAAAUAACCUAGUACCCUCCCAAGUGAUUCUGCUUUAAUGAGAAUUGUCAAAGCUGCAGGUCUGACAGAUGUGAUAAAGAUUGGACAACACUAGGGGUGGACAGCCAGGUUCCAGUGUGCUUCUGCCCAGCCUAGAAGAGCUCCCUCAGCAACACCACGGCUUCUCUCCCUACGGAUGGAGGGAAGUUCCCAACAUAUUCUCACAUUCCUCCAGUUAAAAACUUCCCACCCACAGACAUCCCAGAGCAUCCCUUUGGAGAACGAAACACAAAGGGAAUCCAAGAUGAUGCUUGGCUUCCUGCUGCUGAGACAAAUAGUGAGGCUGUUAAACUCUACCAUUGUCCCACGUCCUUUAGAGUGGAAAGAGUUUGUACUCCUUGCUCUAAGAUUUACGCAGCAGUGCUCUCCAACGCCAGGCAGCUGGGAAGUCCCCAUGUGAAACCUCUCCACAAGCUGAUGGGAAGCAGCAAGACCCACACUGCCUUCAUCAUUGUCAUCCCCAUCAAUGGAGCCAACGGGUCAGAAAACUCCCAUCCGUUACACCUAUGGCAUGCCAUCAGCUCGCAGGUGAUGAGGAAAAGCAGAUGCAGUUUUUGGUGAGCCAGUUGUUCUCCCGUUUUGCACAUCCCAAAAUGAGCUUCAAGAUUCCAAGCAUGCUUCACGCUGUAGGGUUCUGUCCACAGGGUCUGGGCUGGAUGUGACCUUAGGAGUGAAUGCAGUGUGGGGAACAGAAAAAUUCAGCAAAAAAAGAGCAAAUGUGUUAACGGAGGGCAAAAAAAAAACACACAUCAUGUAGUUCCCUCUAUUCUUAGUUUUAUGCAUUCGGCCAGUUCUGGAGUGACUGAAAACCUGAGAAUUUGAAAGGAAUGUUGUGAUUUCAGCCGAGUUCAAUAUUCUCUUCAAUAUUUUGAAAAGUGGAAGUCUUAGGCAGCUGAACAGAACUUUGCCCAUUGACAAUUCCUGCUUAGAGAAUAAACUUAGAAUAAAUAAAGGCAUCAUAGUGGGAAUUGGCUGGAGUAAACCAUUCUGUGCUGCAGUAAAAUUCAAUUCUAGGUGGUUUCAGUUGCGAUCUCCAAUACAAACCCUGAAUGUUGCUGUCCUGCAAACGCUUCUUUAUUGGAAAGCAGUCCCAGUGUCCCAGAAAACCCCCAAAGGCCUUCCUUUGCCAUAUGCCUGCACUCAGCUGCAAGUUGUUCAUGCUGCGCUCAUGACGGUGGGCAUCCACCUCACUUCAGCCUUUCAGACCCGAAGUAUCAAGCCUAAACCUACUGCCACGGUUCCCUUGUUUUUCAGAGGGAGGUUGGUACUGCAGCCUCCUACAGCUCUGCAGGCAGGGUGCUUGCUUCCAGCUGACCACGCUCAGGGAGAUGUACUAGGCUACUCGGUGAUUCCUAUUCCUCCUCCUGUUACGUUUUUCUUCCCUACCUGCCUUAACAACACUCUGUUUACGCUAUCUCAGGCCAAGGAUCAAAGUGCUAUUCCCCUCUGCCAAGAGCGAUUUAGCAGUGCCUUCCUUGGACUUGCUUUGUUAUAACUUUUGCAUUGCCCGGGUGCUGAGUUAUUCAUUAUGCGCAGGCUGCAGAGACAAUUGUAUGCGUUCCUCUUCCUGUCUGUGCAAUAUUUUGACAUUUCCCUGUGUCUAUUGGAAUUCAGUCCUGUCUUUAAAUAAAUAUCUUGCUUUCCCAUGGGAAGAGCUCCAGGAGCUCCUACCUCAGUGCUGCUUCCCAGCUGUCUGAGUUUUCCUCGUCUGCAUCUCGGGUGAUGGAAAUGUGGAGGAGUUGGGGUAUUUUGUUUGGGGUUGGGGACUUUUUUGAGGUUAAAAAGAGCAACAC
rnacentral:lncRNA from 1 species